UAGAAAAAAAUCACUCCUCACAUAUGUGGCAAGUAGGACACGCCCACUAAUUGUGAGGCAGCAGAACACACUUGUGUUAAUUUGGUGGCGGUGCUUUAAAAGCUCUCCUCCUCUUCGUUCAGACAUGAAUUUGUGCUGUGCCAUACAUCCAAGGCAUCGGGAAGUAAAGCGGGGGUUGACAGGCAGCUCCAUGCACACAAGAAACCGGCCAGACUUUGGCGCAUCUGCAACGUAGCGGCAAUGAUCUGCAAGCGUGACGUGACUCUGUUUACCUAGAUCCGCCCUCCUCUCAGUGACCGGAACGUGUUUGAGGCUGCACGCCCUUCUCACCCCGCAAAUAGGGGUUUAAGCUGCUGCUUUGCUUUUAUUGUUUUUAUUGUGAUUUCUGUCCGGGUCCCACCCCCGCCACGACGGAACCGGUUGGAGCGAACGCCCAGCUCACGGAGACGUCGUUGCUGUGGCAUCUCACCUGACUGUGGACUACUCCCACCAGCUGAUCGGCGGUGGUUGGGCGGCUCACCAGCGCCCCGGAACACUAAUCAUCUUUUUAACCUUUACUUUUAAUUGUGUGUCUUUUAUUGAUAUCGUCAAUUUUAUUCUUGUUUCAGGAGGUGGGAGGCCGAGGUGGUGGACUGCUGUGUCUGGUGGUGGGUCCCAGUGUGCUGUGUGGUUUCCCUCACGUGUGCAGUGAUUCACAAAAGGGUGUUUGCAUUGUUUUUAUGCUGUUUUUAGCCACCUCGGUAAGCUCCUCCAGAACAUUUUUAACUGACUUUUAUCAAGGAUUGUUUUAUUAAAAGGUUUCUUAACAUUGUUUUUUUAACUGAAUUCUAAUAAAUUAUAUUUUAAAACAAAACCACAUCCUCUGCCUUGGUUUAGAGCAGGACCUGCACCUGCCUUACUUUAAAAUCUUUUCCUGGGGCUCAGCAGCCCCAGGUGGCGUUGUCAACCCGUUUUCUCGUGCUGCCA